rnacentral:pre_miRNA from 1 species
AGUGGGAUAGAUGGGUCAAAUGGUGGUUUCAUUGCAAACUUUCUGAGGAAUCUCCAUACUGCUUUCCAGAUUGGUUGCACCAAUUUGCAAUCCCACCAGCAAU